rnacentral:rRNA from 1 species
CGCGUAGGCGGUUUGUUUAGUUAGGCGUGAAAUUCCUGGGCUUAACCUGGGGACUGCGCUUAAUACAGGCAGACUUGAGUUCUGAAGAGGGUCGUGGAAUUCCCAGUGUAGAGGUGAAAUUCGUAGAUAUUGGGAAGAACACCGGUGGCGAAGGCGGCGACCUGGUCCGAUACUGACGCUGAGGCGCGAAAGCGUGGGGAGCAAACA